GGUAUCGCAUUGUGCAUAAUGGUCAAGUCCCACUACAUCUGCGCGGGCCGCCUGGUGCGCAUCCUGCGUGGCCCCCGCCAGGACCGCGUUGGUGUGAUCGUCGACAUUGUCGACGCGAACCGCGUGCUGGUGGAGAACCCGGAGGACGCGAAGAUGUGGCGCCACGUGCAGAACCUGAAGAACGUGGAGCCGCUGAAGUACUGCGUGAGCGUCAGCCGCAACUGCAGCGCGAAGGCGCUGAAGGAUGCGCUGGCCUCGUCGAAGGCGCUGGAGAAGUACGCGAAGACGCGCACUGCUGCGCGCGUGGAGGCGAAGAAGGCGUGCGCCGCGUCGACGGACUUCGAGCGCUACCAGCUGCGCGUUGCGCGCCGUUCUCGCGCGCACUGGGCGCGCAAGGUGUUCGACGAGAAGGACGCGAAGACGCCCGUGUCGUGGCACAAGGUUGCGCUGAAGAAGAUGCAGAAGAAGGCCGCAAAGAUGGACUCGACCGAGGGCGCUAAGAGGCGCAUGCAGAAGGCGAUCGCUGCCCGCAAGGCGAAAAAGUAAGGCCACACCCUCACUUCGCUUGUUUCGUGAUUUUACUUUGAAAAAAAAAAAACAGAACGCAAUUCGGAAGGAGCAACCGUGAUGGCGUUUUUUCGGUGGAACGGGCU
rnacentral:misc_RNA from 1 species